AUUGAACGCUGGCGGCAGGCCUAACACAUGCAAGUCGAGCGGAUGACGGGAGCUUGCUCCUCGAUUCAGCGGCGGACGGGUGAGUAAUACCUAGGAAUCUGCCUGAUGGUGGGGGACAACGUUUCGAAAGGAACGCUAAUACCGCAUACGUCCUACGGGAGAAAGCAGGGGACCUUAGGGCCUUGCGCUAUCAGAUGAGCCUAGGUCGGAUUAGCUAGUUGGUGAGGUAAUGGCUCACCAAGGCGACGAUCCGUAACUGGUCUGAGAGGAUGAUCAGUCACACGGGAACUGAGACACGGUCCAGACUCCUACGGGAGGCAGCAGUGUGGAAUAUUGGACAAUGGGCGAAAGCCUGAUCCAGCCAUGCCGCGUGUGUGAAGAAGGUCUUCGGAUUGUAAAGCACUUUAAGUUGGGAGGAAGGGUUGUAGAUUAAUACUCUGCAAUUUUGACGUUACCGACAGAAUAAGCACCGGCUAACUCUGUGCCAGCCGCCGCGGUAACAC
rnacentral:rRNA from 1 species